rnacentral:rRNA from 1 species
UACGUAGGUGACAAGCGUUGUCCGGAUUUACUGGGCGUAAAGAGCGCGCAGGCGGUCGUUCAAGUCGAGUGUGAAAGCCCCCGGCUCAACUGGGGAGGGUCACUCGAUACUGAUCGACUCGAAGGCAGGAGAGGGAAGUGGAAUUCCCGGUGUAGUGGUGAAAUGCGUAGAUAUCGGGAGGAACACCAGUGGCGAAGGCGACUUCCUGGCCUGUUCUUGACGCUGAGGAGCGAAAGCGUGGGGAGCGAACAGG